rnacentral:sRNA from 1 species
UUGGAGAUCAGGCCCAGGGCAGCACACACACACCCAUCAAUGGCUCUCUCCCCUCCCUGCUGCUGUCACCCAAAGGGGAGGUGGCCAGAGCCCCCUUGCCACUGGAUAAACAGGCCCUCGGUGACAUCCCCCAGGCUCCCCAUGACUCUCUUCCAGUCUCUCCAACUCCAAAAACCCCUCCCUGCCAAGCCAGACUUGCCAAGCUGGAUGAAGAUGAGCUGUAACUGGUGAAAACCAUGGGGGUGGUGCUGACUCAGCCGCCUAUUCCCCAAGGAGCUUCAGGGCAGUCCUUCUGGCACUGCUCCAGAAUUCCUCCUUCUUGGUGUGUCUGGAGGGUGGGCAAGGCUGGGAGGGAUAUCAACUUGGAGGAGAGCACCUAGACCCAAGGACUUUUUUCCGCCCAAGGAACACAGUUUCCUUCAGCUCCCACCCCCAUGCAUGCAUCACGGUCCCCCCAAAAGGAGGAUAUGUGGGUGGGUGGGAGGGCUGGGGCAGGGGCCAGAUAGAAAUUAUUGGUUUUGUUUUUUAAUUUUGUUUUUCCUGUUUUCUGAGAAUAAAGGUUUUGUUAUAUCACCGAGGCUGCUGUCUUGGCAGAGGGAAGGGAAGGCUGUAGUGGGGCCACCCCAGAGCCAGCGAUCAGAUCCGGCCAAGGAUGUCUGCAGAAACGCCUAACAUAGAGACUCUCCC